ACGUACUUGACGCCCCACAGGAGGGAUUACUCUGAAAACACAAACAAGGAACUUUAUUUGGACCAGAAAUAUUGGAAUCACAACUGUUUCAUCAAUGCCUCAGACUCACAGACUCAAUUCAAACUGGUCAAAUUUGCAUACAAUGAGAAUCUUGGAGUAACAGAAUAAAGACAGGCUAGAAAUGGCAGAAUGACCUGAAUAAAUUCUACCUUUACGCUCAUUUGUGAAGUUCUUUAUAUCUGAACUCUCUUCUCUGCAUCUUAAGGAAGAAUCAACUAUCAACACCGCUGAAGAUAUUUCCAUUGGAACUGGAUUUGAACCCAUGUCUCAAGAGGAGGAUAAAAGUGAACAAAGUAAUACAACACUGAAAGGGAGUCCUGCACCUAUGCAGAAGAAGAAACGAAAGCAAAAGUGAAAGUGAGUAAAAAGAAGAUUGGGUGACCCAGAAGAGAAACGCCAUUCUCCAGAGAGGCACAGAGGAGGCAGGACAGAAAUUGCAGAGAGCAGAUUUCCCAGAAGAACAAACAAAAGUCCCAGAAACCAGGGGGUGGGACAAAAGGUCCCAGGAAGACAAUGAAGUCAAGGGAAAAGUACAGAAACCCGAACAAGGUCCUGUUCAGUGAAGUUAAAGUAAGGAGCAAAGCAAAAGGCCCCAAAUUAAAGAGAGAAAGCUGUGAGGUGCAGAAUCAAGGUCAAGUGGGCUUGCGAUAUGCCAGAAGAUCCAAAGAGACAGCCAAAGGUUGGUGACUCCUUACUACAGCCCUGUGAAGCAGUGGUGUUCUGUUGGCACAGCUGAGUCUAUGAGAGUGCGUGGAAGGCGAAGCUUGAAUGCACGUGGCGAACCGAGGAGAGGAACAUCAGAGGGAGAGAUCGAAGCCUGGAGACUUCCGAGAGAAAGCUUCACUUGGGGGAAGAUUCCAAGACAAGUUCUUUGAGAGUGGAGAUUGGAAAUCCAUGUGGAAGACAGUUUCCAUGAGACCGAUUGGCUCACAGUGUGAUAAGCAUCUGGGGGAGUUGAUGAGAGAUUCAUAGUAUCUGUUUGGGGUGGCAUCUGUCACUUGGUUUCAGAGUGUGGUGUGUCUGACCACAGGUCGUCUGUUGGCUUACAUGUACUGUGAACAUUAGAGUGCCAGAUAGAUUUUUUGUAACCUGUAUUAUUCUUACAAAUCUGGUAUCAUUGUAGGUGAAG